GAUGAAGAACGUAGCGAAAUGCGAUAAGUAAUGUGAAUUGCAGAAUUCAGUGAAUCAUCGAAUCUUUGAACGCACAUUGCGCCCGCCGGUAUUCCGGCGGGCAUGCCUGUUCGAGCGUCAUUUCAACCAUCAAGCCCUGGGCUUGUGUUGGGGACCUGCGGCUGCCGCAGGCCCUGAAAUGCAGUGGCGGGCUCGCAAGACACACCGAGCGUAGUAGCUUACAACCUCGCUUUGGGAGUGCUGCGGGUGCUGGCCGUAAAGCGACCUUUGCGUCUUUAGCACUAGGUUGACCUCGGAUCAGGUAGGAGGACCCGCUGAACUUAAGCAUAUCAAAAGCGGAGGA
rnacentral:misc_RNA from 1 species